UUAUCAAAACAGGGCCUUAGAAGGAACAUGUUAGCAUGUUAGAUGUCUGAAAGUAUAUUAAAAUCUAAAGUUUUAACCUGCUAUUGCUAAUAUACUCCUUUUGCAACACAAGGAGGAGAAUAUUAGCAUCCUUUAUUCAUGUGUGUGCGUGUGUGUAUGCAUUCCUCAAGGUGGAUCUAUCAAAAGCUACGUGUGUGCAGUUGAAAGAGCAUUCAUCCUCCACACCAACCUUGGAAAGUGUAGUUAUGUUUGGCAUGCUUUAUUUAAUAGUUUUUCUUAGUAUCAGAAUUUUGGACCAUUCCACUUUCCUUCCUUCUCUUUAUUAUAUUAAUCAACAACAAUAAGAAGAAUAAUUAAUUGGUAUUAUUGUGCAGAAACUCUAAUUUCCCAAUUUGUGGUUGAAGAUUUGGGUAGGGACUUAGGGUAAGAGAUGGUACAACACAGGUUUUUGAGAGACAAGUUCUCUCCUCAAAUCACUUUACGUAUUGUGAUACCAUUCCACUUUCCUUUUCUCUAUUUAUCAUUCCUGUAACUACCACCCCUUAACUGCUUAACAACUCUCUGAGUACAACUAUCAACAAAUCAAUCAUUCCGUUAGUCUUCUUAGAGUCAUGAUUCCCUACAUCACUUCCUAUUUUUCCUAGCAUACACCCCUUAGUAAAAGGGGGUCUCUGGUAAGGAUGUGAUAUUUUUUUUUUUGGUGUCGUAACUAAUAAGAAUGUGAUCGUAAGGAUAAUAUCGUUGAAAGCCAUCUAUAGCCAUCAUUGUUACCCGGCCCCUCCCUCUCAUCUUUCAACACCCUCAGCUCAGCUAAAUGCAGCGUUUAACUGGUAAUUGCUCAUUCUUUGUAUUGCUUUUAAUUUUUUGCUUUGCUUUGUUCUGAGGUUUUUGUUUUGUUUAAGGUUUCUAUUAUCUAAGUUGCUGUUCGUUUGGAUUUCGCUUUGUAGAAUAGUAGAGUGAAAUUCAAACGACUUUUGAGUUCAAUUAAUAUUAUUUUUCUCAUAAUUUUUUUGGUCACAUGAUUCUGUACUGAUUUUGAGGGUCAGAAUUCGAAGAAUGUUUUGAUUUGUUUUCUUUCCAUUAAGAGCAAUUUUGGACCGGAUUUUAAUUUUUAAUUUCCAAGUUAUUGAAUUAAGCUUUCCCCUUUGGAGGCUUUUGAGGCUGUUUUUAGAUGUGGGUUGUUUGGUUUUUACUUACUUAUAUUUUAGUAAUUUUCUGUUCUGGGUCUCCCUCUUGUUACCGAAAUUUUUUGUUUUCUAUACAAUGAACCUCGUGCUGUGAAAAAAUCACCAAACUGCAUGUUGGACUUGUAUGAAACAAAAGACCAAACUUAGCAGCAUAUGCUUUCUAUUCACUUUUAUAGCACACCCUAUAACAGGGAAUAUAGAGCAAACUCUUUGGUCAAUAUUGUACAUGAUAAGUUGAGGGAAAUUGGUAAUGGUGUGUGGUGUUCUAACCUUGAAAUUCAUGAUGCGCUGACUUAGUAUUUGGCAAAAUAUGUAUCCUCAGUUACGUUAAAAUUUGAAUGCGAAAGCUUGACUCCUUGUCUUUUUCUUCAUUCUUCUUUGUGUUGUUUCAUUGUGCUUAUAUUUUCCCCCUUAGUAUUGUCCUUUUUUCUGUACUGAUUUUAUCUAUGCACUUAUUCUGUGCUAAAUUUGAAAUUCUGUAUUAAAAGUGACUCCCCUUCUUUAAAAAUCACUGUGAAAAUAUGAAAGAGGGAAUGGAACUGACCCUUAGAAUCAUUAGCAUUCUUGUCUGGAUGGUAUAUGAAAUGAAGUAGAAUUAGCUAAUUAUUAAAUUAACCAACUCUUUUCAGAUGAAAAGAUAGGAAGAACAGUCCAUUAGAGUAACCAGGUGCACCUGAAAGAAUAUUAAUCUAUUCUUGUAAAACUCCUUUAUUUCAUUAAGUUUUAUUGAUUAGUUGUUAGGUCCGGAUAUCAAAUGUAUGAAACCAAUAUAAUGGCAUGAUGAUAGACCAGAGACCCCCUUUUACUAAGGGGUGUAUGCUAGGAAAAAUAGGAAGUGAUGUAGGGAAUCAUGACUCUAAGAAGACUAACGGAAUGAUUGAUUUGUUGAUAGUUGUACUCAGAGAGUUGUUAAGCAGUUAAGGGGUGGUAGUUACAGGAAUGAUAAAUAGAGAAGAGGAAAGUGGAAUGGUAUCACAAUACGUAAAGUGAUUUGAGGAGAGAACUUGUCUCUCAAAAACCUGUGCUGUACCAUCUCUUACCCUAAGUCCCUACCCAAAUCUUCAACCACAAAUUGGGAAAUUAGAGUUUCUGCACAAUAAUACCAAUUAAUUAUUCUUCUUAUUGUUGUUGAUUAAUAUAAUAAAGAGAAGGAAGGAAAGUGGAAUGGUAUCACAUUACAUGUUCUGUUAAUUGGAGCUGGACAUUUCUUUGUUCCCUUUUCUCAAAUUUUCUGAAUUCAAUAGAUCAAAACCCAAAUUCUCUCAAUUUCAGUUUUCAUCCUCCAAAAACCUCUCUCUCUAACUUCUCAAAAGGUUUUCCCCAUUUACAAGCUUAACCCACAGGUUCUUUCUUCCUCUGUUACUCAAUUUUCAGUUUGUUUUUUUGCUUUUAAUCUGACCCCAUAGCUAUGAUGUUCUGCGAAUUAGAUUCCAUGAUAGUAAUGUUGACUGUUGCUAAGACUGGAACAUGGUAAAUGCCACUGUCAGUGCUCCUUUAGAUAUCUGAAUUGUGGAAAUCUUGGAUAAACAGCUCAUAACUAUAACAGAGACAUUCAAAAUCUUUAUCUUACUCCUGUACCUCUGUACAUGUAAUAGUUAGUGGCAAUGAAAAAUAAGAGCUGAUAAUUUCUUCUUUAGAUUAGUUGUUGUGAUACAACAUAUUGAUCUGUGAAUUCUGAAUCUUGUUGGCAUCUUUCAUUGCAUGAUGAGCCUGCUUUGUAAAAGUCCCAACUAGCCUUGCCGCUAUUUUUUUUUUUUUUUGUUUUAAUUUUGCAAAGUUUGUAGGAAGCCAUGUUCAUUUUUUACUGUUACUACUGUUAUUUUUUAAUUACAAUUUAAAAAUGCAUCUUUCUAUCCUUCAAAGUAUCUAGGAAACCAGUUAUACAUACAUAUAUCUCCUAUGCCAUACAGCCAUACCACUGUUUUUAUUAGUUUUAUGUCGUGAUCCUGAGAUACCUUCUGAUAGACACACUAAUUGUUUCAUGUUAAAUUCCUAGGAUAUACUAUUACACAACUCCUUCAUAGUUGCCUAUCAGCCACAGCCAAUAUGCUUUUUUUUUUUUAAAAAAAAGAAUUUGAUGCAUUAUUUCGGUAGUGUUACAAUUGAAUGUGUAGAUUUUAUUUUACUUCUGAAUUAUUUUUUACAAGUCUUUUAUAUAAAAUUUCAGAGCUUGGUCUUUUAUAUGAAGGGUCCUAGCCAUAUUUAUGUGACUUGGCCCUUUUUUUUUAAUUUGCUUUUUUGUAUGGUAUAAGUCGUUUGAUGUUGACGUUAUAACCUGAUAUUGCACAAGAUUCACCAUGGCAACUAUGAGAGGCUGUAAUCGAUUUGAAGGAUGAACCACUGGACUUGUCUAUAAUUUUUGAAGGAGGAAAGGGUUGUAACAGCAGAUUUUUGUUCCAUCAUCAUAUUAUCUGAACUUCUGGUAGAAAAUGGCAGCUGAAGAUGAUAGGAAUCUUGUCGAAAUCAUGGAAACCCUGAAUCCAAUAGAUGUUGCUAAAUACAUGAAUUUUGUUGGUGCCCCCCAAGCUGGUGCUAUAGCUACAUUUUCAGGCACAACUCGCGACACCUUUGAAGGAAAAACAGUCGUGGAGUUGAGAUACGAAGCUUAUGUUCCAAUGGCAAUACGCUGUAUCAAGUCAAUCUGUUCAUCUGCUAGAGCAUCCUGGAACAUACAUUCUGUUGCUGUUGCUCAUCGUCUAGGCACAGUGCCUGUUGGUGAAACAAGUGUCUUCGUUGCUGUCUCGUCUGUCCACCGGGCUGAUGCGCUGGAGGCUUGUAGAUUUUUGAUAGAUGAGAUAAAAGCACAAGUUCCUAUUUGGAAAAAGGAGGUCUAUUCAAAUGGGGAGGUUUGGAAGGAGAACAGUGAGUUCCUAGAGAGGAGGUCUGAGCUUGGUAACAAGAAUGCAGCUUGCUGUGGGAAAAAGGCAGAAAUUAAAGAGCACAACAAAAAGUCUUGCUGUAGGACCAAGGUUCGGGCUGAUGACGAAUGUAGCUAGAACUAGUAUCAAUGUUGGGGAUCAAAUAUACAAGAGGGUAAUUGCAAUUGUUGUAGUUUGAAGAAUAUGCCCCUUUUCCUCCCUUUGCAUUUGUCCAAUCAGUUGAUAAGAUUGUAUUUUAGCUUUGAAGUCAAUAAGUUUGCCUAUUGAGAUAGAUAGGCUACUUUGAUAUCUCAUUCUGCCCUUUUUUUAGUUUAUUGUGAACAAAGGUGAUAAUGACAUAUUGACAGCAAGAGUUUUAUUAGAAGUUAAUUCCAAGACGUAUAUUUUUUGUAUUAACAAUUCCUUAAUCACCUGAUUUAGGUUUAGUCACACUUAAAGCUCUCCACCCCUCCCAAAGAGCGAAUUAUGUGGAAAUUGAAUUCAUGUUUUUUUUUAUAAACUUAUUGUAAAUUGUCAACUGAAUUACAUCUAUUAGGUAUUUAAUGGUUGGUGUUAUAGUACAAGGAUGAAAGCAACAUCGGAGUUUGUAAGAAUGUUGCUAUCUUUUCAAAAUAAAUAGUGUAAUAUAAAAAAAUUUAAAAAAGUAAUAAAAAUAUAGAUGUAUCAUCUAUCAUUAUUAAUAUCCUAUGUAAUAAAAAGAUAAAAAUAAAAAUCCCAUCUUAUGUAAAAAAGAAUAAAACUAAUAAAACCUUACCUUAUGAGUUAUGAGUGGAGGAAGAGAAAAAAAAAGAAGAACCUACCAUAUAUAAAAAGGAUAAAUUAUUAUUAAAUAUUUUAAAGGCAAAAGGAAAAUUAAACAUAAGAAACUAAAACCUAAGGGCUUGGUUAAGGUGGUUGUGAGUUUUUAAUUUUUAAUUUUCAAAUGUAAUUUUUAAAACAAUACAACAUGUUUGAGAAAAAUAGAGUUAAAAUUAUUUUUAAAUCAUUUUCAAAACAUCCUUAUACUCAUUUUAAAAACGAAAGAAAAAAAGUUUUGUGAAUUUGAAUUUUAAUGUUAAAAAAAACAUAUUUUUUAUAUUUUGACAAUGACACUUUUUUCAUUGUCCACUACUACCAUCAUUAUCAUUGCGACUAUCACAAUCAUUUCCACCACUUCCACCACCAAUAUCACCUUUGUCCUAUCAUCAUCAGUGUCACGACCAUCAUAUCAUCAUUGUCACCCCCACCAAAGUCAUUGCAACUAUCACUAAUACAUCUCACCAUGAUGACUACCAACAUCACCAUCACCACUAACAUUGUUACCGCAACCAACAUCACUUUUUAUACCACGACCACUUAUUACUACCACCAAUACCGUUACCCAUUGUCACCCUGUCAUCGCCGCCACCACCAUCGCACCAACACCACAACUAAUACCACCUUCGUCACCACCACCAUUGUGGUCACUCUCAUAUAAAAAUACUCUUAAUCUUAAUAUAACAUGAAACCUUUAAAAUGAGUUUUUAUUUUAAAAUUAGUUUAAAAUUAAAAGUAAAAAUUGGUUAUUACUUUUAAAAAUUUCAAACUUCAAAACUAAAAACAACCUCAAAAGGACAAAUAAUUUUUUAAACAUUACAGAUAGUAAAAAAUACUACAAGAUAUUAAAAAUAUUGCUUAUUUUUUUAAGGAAAAAAUUGUUUAAUAAAUCUUAUUUAGAAACAUUUUUUAAUUAAUAAAAAAAUUUAGAAACCAAUUCAACUAACGUGCCAAAUAUAACUUAAUUUGAGAGAUUUAUUUCCAACAGUAACAAAUAAAAAGAAAGAGUAAUUAAUAUUAUUUUUUUUCAAGUGAGUUUAAUUUUUAAAGUAGUUAUUAUAAAAAUGAUUAAUAAUUAAUAUUGUUUUACAUGACAAUAUACAGUGGAAAAACAUUUAUGGUUUUAGUGUAUUUAAAUUGAAAUCCUAAUUUUUUCAAUGUUUUAAUGUUUACAAACUAAAUUGUUGUUCUCUUUUUCCUAAAAAUCUCAAGCCCCUUUUAAAAUGUUAAUGUAAAAAAUAAAAACAUUUUAAAUAUUGGUGCAAACAGGACAGAGGUUCUGGGUUUUCUCUUCACAUUACAAAGUACAAACACUCUGCAGCAGGAGCGUACGCAUAACUCCCCGCCGUCCGGACAUUUCUUGGUUCCUGGUACGUGUGUCUGACUUUUUUUUCUUACUAUGUUGUCUUCUGCCUUAGGAUUUGUGCUUUGUUUCUGCGUUCAUAAAUCAGAAUCAAGAUCUCAUUACUACUUUCGCACGUGUUGCUUUUGUUGAUCUGGGCAAUAAGGGUUGAGCCCUUUUAUUUUUUCUGAUUAUGCAUGCUGAUGAAGUUGAUGGGAACGUAUUCAGUUUUUUUGAGCUUCUUUUUAGGUUGUUUAGAAUUCUGAAAAAUAAGUGAGGGACUUGAGAUUGAUUUUCUAAGGUAACUGUUCAGUGCACUGCCCAAAUGUUCAAAAGUAACAACAUACACACAAAGGAGAAGAAAAUAAGAAGGAAAAGUGAAAUAAGUUUCUCCCAUAAGUUAAAAUUAGCCUUUUGGAGAAGCUAAUUGAUUUUAACUUCAGAAGCUAAUUUUAGCUUAUGGGAGAAGCUUGUUUCAUUUUUUCUUUUUAUUUUCUUUUAAGUGCUUCUGAAGAAGAAACUUAUCAAAACAGGGCCUUAGAAGAAACAUGUUAGCAUGUUAUAUGUCUGAAAGUAUAUUAAAAUCUAAUGUUUUAACCUGCUAUUGCUAAUAUACUCCUUUUGCAAAACAAGGAGGAGAAUAUUAGCAUCCUUUAUUCAUGUGUGUGCGUGUGUGUAUGCAUUCCUCAAGGUGGAUCUAUCAAAAGCUACGUGUGUGCAGUUGAAAGAGCAUUCAUCCUCC
rnacentral:lncRNA from 1 species